rnacentral:rRNA from 1 species
GGUACCUGCGGGGAGCCUUAACAUGCAAGUCGAACGGCAGCACGGACUUCGGUCUGGUGGCGAGUGGCGAACGGGUGAGUAAUGUAUCGGAACGUGCCUAGUAGCGGGGGAUAACUACGCGAAAGCGUAGCUAAUACCGCAUACGCCCUUCGGGGGAAAGCAGGGGAUCGUAAGACCUUGCACUAUUAGAGCGGCCGAUAUCGGAUUAGCUAGUUGGUGGGGUAACGGCUCACCAAGGCGACGAUCCGUAGCUGGUUUGAGAGGACGACCAGCCACACUGGGACUGAGACACGGCCCAGACUCCUACGGGAGGCAGCAGUGGGGAAUUUUGGACAAUGGGGGAAACCCUGAUCCAGCCAUCCCGCGUGUGCGAUGAAGGCCUUCGGGUUGUAAAGCACUUUUGGCAGGAAAGAAACGUCCCGGGAUAAUACCCCGGGAAACUGACGGUACCUGCAGAAUAAGCACCGGCUAACUACGU